rnacentral:miRNA from 1 species
AAAGGUCAUUGUAAGGUUAAUGC